AACUUCCAAAUUUUAGCACUUAAGAAUUUUCGAUAAUGUGAUUUUUAUUAUUUGUUAUUUUUAAACAAUAUCCUAUAACCGCGAAAUGGAACCGAUGACCGUGUAGAGUCCUGUCACCGUGGAUCGUAUGACUGCAAAGUGUGUUUGACCAUGGGCCCUGUUACCGUGCUCACUUAAGGCCGUGGCUUGACGCCUAGAGCCGCAAGAAUAUGCCGCGAGCCGUUGUUGGUCGCCGCUAGCCGUUAACUCACCAACGCGCUCACCGCCACCGAUCCAAUUGUUUCGCACAAAAUUUCUAACAAAAUCAAAAUCACCACGAUGCCGCAAUUCCGAGCCAACUUCUACCACACCAA
rnacentral:lncRNA from 1 species